AUAGAGACUCAGAGCUGCAUAUCAAUAAGCGGAGGAAAAGAAACUAACAAGGAUUCCCUUAGUAACGGCGAGUGAAGCGGGAAGAGCUCAAAUUUGAAAUCUUCAAGGUUCUACCUUGACGAAUUGUAGUUUAUAGAAGUGUUUUCUGUUAGUGGAGUGGCAAAAGUUCUUUGGAAUAGGACAUCAUAGAGGGUGAGAAUCCCGUAUUUGGUCAUUCCUCCUAGCGUUGUGAUACACUUUCAACGAGUCGGAUUGUUUGGGAAUGCAGUCCAAAAUGGGUGGUAAAUUUCAUCUAAAGCUAAAUAUUGGCGAGAGACCGAUAGCGAACAAGUACCGUGAGGGAAAGAUGAAAAGAACUUUGAAAAGAGAGUUAAACAGUACGUGAAAUUGUCAAAAGGGAAGCGUUUGACACCAGUGUUGUUUUUCCGAAAAUCAAUUACGAAUGUUUUGUUUUUGAGGAGUUAUGACUUCAUCGGCUUGCUUCUCUCUUUAUGAAACUUUCUUAAUGCACUUUUCGGUUAACAAGUCAACAUCAAUUUCUUUUGUUGUAAAAGGGUAUGAGGAAGGUGGCUUUCUUUUCGGAGAAAGUGUUUAUAGCCUUGUGCCUCUGCAAUCGGAGAGAUUGAGGUCUGCAGCGUAGAUCCUUCGGGGUUAGAUACAUUUGUGCUAAGUUAUAGCUUUUCAUAGACAACUUGUUGACUAUGUUUAGUCUUGUAGCUUACUCGCUUAUGCUAUUUUACCUACGCUUAGGAUGUUGAUAUGCAUGACUGAUAU
rnacentral:rRNA from 1 species